CAGUCGCCGCGGUAACACGUAGGUGGCAAGCGUUGUCCGGAAUUAUUGGGCGUAAAGGGCUCGCAGGCGGUUUCUUAAGUCUGAUGUGAAAGCCCCCGGCUCAACCGGGGAGGGUCAUUGGAAACUGGGAAACUUGAGUGCAGAAGAGGAGAGUGGAAUUCCACGUGUAGCGGUGAAAUGCGUAGAGAUGUGGAGGAACACCAGUGGCGAAGGCGACUCUCUGGUCUGUAACUGACGCUGAGGAGCGAAAGCGUGGGGAGCGAACAGGAUUAGAUACCCCAGUAGUCCCUGUCUCUUAUAA
rnacentral:rRNA from 1 species